UUAAAUUGUUACUGGAUAGAAUAUAUGUCAUUCUUUUCACCUUUUUUUGUUUGUGUAGGUGAACCAUGGGAAUUUGGUGAAGCUAGAGGGUUUUUGCAUAGACCCUAAAGAAGCAAAUUGCUACUUAGUCUAUGAGUAUGUUGAAAAUGGUUCACUACAUUCUUGGCUUCACGGUGAAAAACCUGAAAAAUUGAGCUGGAAAACAAGACUAAGGAUUGCCACUGAUGUUGCAAAUGGUCUCUUAUACAUUCAUGAACAUACAAGGCCAAGAGUUGUCCACAAAGACAUCAAGAGUAGCAACAUUCUCCUAGACUCCAACAUGAGAGCCAAAGUUGCCAAUUUUGGUCUAGCUAAAUCAGGGUGCAAUGCUAUAACAAUGCACAUUGUAGGUACUCAGGGGUACAUCUCCCCUGAGUACCUCACUGAUGGGGUUGUAUCCACUAAAAUGGAUGUUUUCUCAUUCGGGGUUGUGUUGCUCGAGCUUGUGUCAGGGAAGGAGGCUAUCGAUGAUGAAGGGAAAGUCUUGUGGGCAAAAAUUAGCGAUUUUUCUGAAGGGAGUGAAGAGAGGAAGGUGAGGAAAUUGCAAGAAUGGAUGGAUGAAAGUCUAUUGAGGGAAGAAUUAACAAUGGAAAGUGUUGUGAAUGUGAUGACUGUGGCUAUUUCAUGUUUGAAUAAAGAUCCUUCAAGAAGGCCAGGGAUGAUUGAAAUUGUGUAUGCCUUAUCUAAAAGUAUUGAUCUAUUUUCUGAUGUUUCAGAGGAAGGACCAUCUCCAAGGCAAGUCACAGCAAGAUAGACUACAUAAUAGUACUUGCAUAUUAUGUAAAGUUGUUUUGAAGUGGAGUAGCAUUUUGUGUUUUGAGGUUUGUACUUUACUUUAAAGUUUGCUUCUAUAUAAGUGUAAUAUUACUCCUAUAUUAUCUUUUCUAGUAGUAGUGGUAAAUCCAAUUUCGAAUAAGAGCAUGUUUAAGGUUGUUCUAGUGGAAUAUAUAUUAGUACCACAUAAGACACUUGUAAUGAAUUUAUCUUUAUGUUAUGUUGCUUGGAUUCUUCAAAAAUGAUCUUGCACUUGUGUCAAUUCUUUAAAAUUGCAUGUAUUAGUUAUGCGGUUUUCUAAAUUACCUCCUAAAUCAGCUAUCAAACAUGGUAUUACGUAACUUAACCUGCAUAACUCAACUCCAAACCAACUACCAAACGACCCUGAAUGAAAAGUAUUUCCCCUAACUCUUGCAAUAGUUUAAUAUACCUUGGAAAAAGACGUAUCUCAGAAAUAGCUAGUCCAAACAUGUGAAAACAUUCUGGAGAAAAACAACAAAUAUAAACACGAGUAUUUUCUACAAUAUGGUUGACCAAAAACUCUUCUAGGUGGGACCAUCAAAUUGAAAAAAAACCCAUCUUCCUUUAAUGUUAAAGACAAUACCAUAUGAGAAAUUAAACAACAACAACCAAUCAAAUAAUGCAAAAAAUCCCCAUCACUCAUUAAAUGGUCAAAAACCAAGACUAUGACAAAAAACAAGAACUUUGGUAUAUAAACCUCUUAUAACUCCAUCAUAUUAUAUACACACACAUCUCUCCUUCAACCAAAACCAAGAAAAUGAUAACAAGACCAAUAUUUGUUUUUUCACUUCUCUUAUUCUUAUCAUUCAUAUUCAACCAAAACAUAAUAUGUUAUGCACAAGAGCCACCAAGCAUCACAGGAUAUACUUGUAAUCCUAACCAAUUCAAUCCAUGUCAAACUUAUGUGUUAUACAGAGCUAGAGGACCAGACUUUCUUGAUUUAGCCUCAAUUGGUGAUCUUUUUUCAGUAAGUAGACUAAUGAUAGCAAACCCUAGUAAUAUUUCCAACCCAAACACAACUCUUGUUAAUGAUCAACCCCUUUUUAUCCCCAUCACAUGUUCUUGUAACAACAUCAACACAACAUAUGGUAGCAUAUCUUAUGCUGGCUUUAACUACACUUUCAAAUCAGGUGACACUAUGUAUGGUAUAUCAACAUCUAAAUACCAAAAUCUUACUACUUAUCAAUCUGUUGAGGCUGUUAAUCCCACAGUUGUAGCAACCAACAUUGAUGUAGGCCAGACCAUAAAAUUCCCAAUUUUUUGCAAGUGUCCAAACACGACACAAAAUCAACCAAGACUACUCAUAAGUUAUGUUUUUCAACCUAAUGAUAACAUUUCUUCUGUCGCCUCAAGAUUCAGGGUAACCCCACAAUCUAUAACACAAAUUAAUGGAAAUAACACCAAGAUUCUUGAUACCCUUUUCAUCCCUCUUUCUAAUCUACCUAAUCUUACACAGCCAGCAUCUUCAAACACCCCACCCCCACCCCCAGCACCAGCACCAGUAAUUCAAGAAAAUGACAGAAAAGAGACUGUCAUAGGGUUAGCAAUUGGUUUAGGGGUUUGUGGGUUGCUGUUGAUUUUGAUUCUUGGUUUGUUUUACAAGGAGAAAACAGUAAAGAAAGAAAAGUAUGGUGAUGUAGAAAGGCAAAAAAGUUUGUAUCUUGGAUCAAAAAAGAAGUCUUUUGUUGAUAAAGAUGUUGAAGUGAAUUUGUUGGCUGAUUUAUCAGAGUGUUUGGAUAAGUAUAAAAUGUAUAAAAUGGUACAACUUUGGGAAGCAACAAAUGGAUUUGAUGAAGGGUGUUUGAUUCAAGGGUCUGUGUUUAAAGGAACAAUUGAUGAAGAAGUGUUUGCAAUCAAAAAAAUGAAAUGGAAUGCCCGCGAAGAACUCAAAAUCCUGCAAAAGGUAAAAAAAAAAACGUUACGUAAAAUUCUGCAUAUAUACGUAUCCACUGCAGAAUUGCUUUUGUGUACUACUAGUAAAAAUCAUUUUAUUAAGGAUAACAUGAACACUUUAAAGUUAAAUUGUUACUGGAUAGAAUAUAUGUCAUUCUUUUCACCUUUUUUUGUUUGUGUAGGUGAACCAUGGGAAUUUGGUGAAGCUAGAGGGUUUUUGCAUAGACCCUAAAGAAGCAAAUUGCUACUUAGUCUAUGAGUAUGUUGAAAAUGGUUCACUACAUUCUUGGCUUCACGGUGAAAAACCUGAAAAAUUGAGCUGGAAAACAAGACUAAGGAUUGCCACUGAUGUUGCAAAUGGUCUCUUAUACAUUCAUGAACAUACAAGGCCAAGAGUUGUCCACAAAGACAUCAAGAGUAGCAACAUUCUCCUAGACUCCAACAUGAGAGCCAAAGUUGCCAAUUUUGGUCUAGCUAAAUCAGGGUGCAAUGCUAUAACAAUGCACAUUGUAGGUACUCAGGGGUACAUCUCCCCUGAGUACCUCACUGAUGGGGUUGUAUCCACUAAAAUGGAUGUUUUCUCAUUCGGGGUUGUGUUGCUCGAGCUUGUGUCAGGGAAGGAGGCUAUCGAUGAUGAAGGGAAAGUCUUGUGGGCAAAAAUUAGCGAUUUUUCUGAAGGGAGUGAAGAGAGGAAGGUGAGGAAAUUGCAAGAAUGGAUGGAUGAAAGUCUAUUGAGGGAAGAAUUAACAAUGGAAAGUGUUGUGAAUGUGAUGACUGUGGCUAUUUCAUGUUUGAAUAAAGAUCCUUCAAGAAGGCCAGGGAUGAUUGAAAUUGUGUAUGCCUUAUCUAAAAGUAUUGAUCUAUUUUCUGAUGUUUCAGAGGAAGGACCAUCUCCAAGGCAAGUCACAGCAAGAUAGACUACAUAAUAGUACUUGCAUAUUAUGUAAAGUUGUUUUGAAGUGGAGUAGCAUUUUGUGUUUUGAGGUUUGUACUUUACUUUAAAGUUUGCUUCUAUAUAAGUGUAAUAUUACUCCUAUAUUAUCUUUUCUAGUAGUAGUGGUAAAUCCAAUUUCGAAUAAGAGCAUGUUUAAGGUUGUUCUAGUGGAAUAUAUAUUAGUACCACAUAAGACACUUGUAAUGAAUUUAUCUUUAUGUUAUGUUGCUUGGAUUCUUCAAAAAUGAUCUUGCACUUGUGUCAAUUCUUUAAAAUUGCAUGUAUUAGUUAUGCGGUUUUCUAAAUUACCUCCUAAAUCAGCUAUCAAACAUGGUAUUACGUAACUUAACCUGCAUAACUCAACUCCAAACCAACUACCAAACGACCCUGAAUGAAAAGUAUUUCCCCUAACUCUUGCAAUAGUUUAAUAUACCUUGGAAAAAGACGUAUCUCAGAAAUAGCUAGUCCAAACAUGUGAAAACAUUCUGGAGAAAAACAACAAAUAUAAACACGAGUAUUUUCUACAAUAUGGUUGACCAAAAACUCUUCUAGGUGGGACCAUCAAAUUGAAAAAAAACCCAUCUUCCUUUAAUGUUAAAGACAAUACCAUAUGAGAAAUUAAACAACAACAACCAAUCAAAUAAUGCAAAAAAUCCCCAUCACUCAUUAAAUGGUCAAAAACCAAGACUAUGACAAAAAACAAGAACUUUGGUAUAUAAACCUCUUAUAACUCCAUCAUAUUAUAUACACACACAUCUCUCCUUCAACCAAAACCAAGAAAAUGAUAACAAGACCAAUAUUUGUUUUUUCACUUCUCUUAUUCUUAUCAUUCAUAUUCAACCAAAACAUAAUAUGUUAUGCACAAGAGCCACCAAGCAUCACAGGAUAUACUUGUAAUCCUAACCAAUUCAAUCCAUGUCAAACUUAUGUGUUAUACAGAGCUAGAGGACCAGACUUUCUUGAUUUAGCCUCAAUUGGUGAUCUUUUUUCAGUAAGUAGACUAAUGAUAGCAAACCCUAGUAAUAUUUCCAACCCAAACACAACUCUUGUUAAUGAUCAACCCCUUUUUAUCCCCAUCACAUGUUCUUGUAACAACAUCAACACAACAUAUGGUAGCAUAUCUUAUGCUGGCUUUAACUACACUUUCAAAUCAGGUGACACUAUGUAUGGUAUAUCAACAUCUAAAUACCAAAAUCUUACUACUUAUCAAUCUGUUGAGGCUGUUAAUCCCACAGUUGUAGCAACCAACAUUGAUGUAGGCCAGACCAUAAAAUUCCCAAUUUUUUGCAAGUGUCCAAACACGACACAAAAUCAACCAAGACUACUCAUAAGUUAUGUUUUUCAACCUAAUGAUAACAUUUCUUCUGUCGCCUCAAGAUUCAGGGUAACCCCACAAUCUAUAACACAAAUUAAUGGAAAUAACACCAAGAUUCUUGAUACCCUUUUCAUCCCUCUUUCUAAUCUACCUAAUCUUACACAGCCAGCAUCUUCAAACACCCCACCCCCACCCCCAGCACCAGCACCAGUAAUUCAAGAAAAUGACAGAAAAGAGACUGUCAUAGGGUUAGCAAUUGGUUUAGGGGUUUGUGGGUUGCUGUUGAUUUUGAUUCUUGGUUUGUUUUACAAGGAGAAAACAGUAAAGAAAGAAAAGUAUGGUGAUGUAGAAAGGCAAAAAAGUUUGUAUCUUGGAUCAAAAAAGAAGUCUUUUGUUGAUAAAGAUGUUGAAGUGAAUUUGUUGGCUGAUUUAUCAGAGUGUUUGGAUAAGUAUAAAAUGUAUAAAAUGGUACAACUUUGGGAAGCAACAAAUGGAUUUGAUGAAGGGUGUUUGAUUCAAGGGUCUGUGUUUAAAGGAACAAUUGAUGAAGAAGUGUUUGCAAUCAAAAAAAUGAAAUGGAAUGCCCGCGAAGAACUCAAAAUCCUGCAAAAGGUAAAAAAAAAAACGUUACGUAAAAUUCUGCAUAUAUACGUAUCCACUGCAGAAUUGCUUUUGUGUACUACUAGUAAAAAUCAUUUUAUUCACCCCCUGCAACCCCUGCACCAGUAAAUCAAGAAAAUGACAGAAAAGGAACUGUUAUAGGGUUAGCAAUUGGUUUAGGGGUUUGUGGGGUUUUGUUGAUUUUGGUUCUUGGUUUGUUUUAUAGAGAGAAAACAGUGAAGAAAGAAGGGUAUAGUGAUGUAGAAAGACAAAAAAGUUUGUAUGCUGGAUCAAAAAAGGGGUCUUUUGUUGAUAAAGAUGUUGAAGUGAAUUUGUUGGCUGAUGUAUCUGAGUGUUUGGAUAAGUAUAAAAUGUAUAAAAUGGAACAAAUUUGGGAAGCAACAGAUGGAUUUGAUGAAGGGUGUUUGAUACAAGGAUCUGUGUAUAAAGGAACAAUUGAUGGUGAAGUGUUUGCAAUCAAGAAAAUGAAGUGGAAUGCUCGUGAAGAACUCAAAAUACUGCAAAAGGUAACAUUUUUACUCAAUUUUCUAUACUUUUGGUAUCUUUUCAAGAAUUACUUUUGUGUAUUGAUAUUGAGAAAAUGAUAAACAUGGACCGACCUGGGUUGAAGUAGAGUAGUAAGUACUUCAUUUUUAUCAGAGUUUUCGAAUUUGAGUCAUCGGAAUGCGAAAUUGUCUUUGUUAAGGAGCAAUUUACUCUUCAUAGGGAAUUUUUCUAUAUAUUUGGUAUGUUAUCGAGAAUUGUUUUUGUGUACUAAUUGAUGUUUGAGAAAAUGAUAAAAUGGUCUAGUAAUUAGAGGUUUUGAAUUUGAGUCUUUAAGUAUAGAGUUAUUUUGGUUAGGAAGCGUAGAGUUAUUUUGGUUAGGAAGCGUGUAUUCUGACAUGAAUUCAAAUUUUAAUCGAACUUUAUAAUGGAUAUCGAACGCCGAGUAAAAAGGGGAAAAAAACAUGGUCCAUAUGUGUGGAGGGUUGAUUCAUAAAGUCUUUAAGUAUGUACUAUUUGAUAGUUUCCAUCUUUUAAGUUUGUCAAAAAUUAGUAUCUUUAAUUUUUCAUAAAAUAUUUAUUGAAUUUAUCUGUUAGAUUUGAUGGGAUUAUGGGGGGGGGGGGGGGGGGGGGGGGAAGGGGGGGAUUUCANNNNNNNNNNNNNNNNNNNNNNNNNNNNNNNNNNNNNNNNNNNNNNNNNNNNNNNNNNNNNNNNNNNNNNNNNNNNNNNNNNNNNNNNNNNNNNNNNNNNNNNNNNNNNNNNNNNNNNNNNNNNNNNNNNNNNNNNNNNNNNNNNNNNNNNNNNNNNNNNNNNNNNNNNNNNNNNNNNNNNNNNNNNNNNNNNNNNNNNNNNNNNNNNNNNNNNNNNNNNNNNNNNNNNNNNNNNNNNNNNNNNNNNNNNNNNNNNNNNNNNNNNNNNNNNNNNNNNNGUGGGGGGGGGGGGGGGGGGGGGGGGGGGGGGGGGAAGGAAAUGAGGGAAUUCAUAAUUAGAGGUACUAUUUUUGUAGAUUGAUUGGUUUUGAUUUGUUUCUAUAAUUUGGUGUAGAUUUUUUAUUUUUUUUAAGAUAUGAAGUGUCUGUAUGCAAUGUUUUCUGUUGUAUAUUUUAGAUUUGAAAAGAUUUUUUUAGUGUUUAUGAUUAAAUAUUUAUUAUUUUUGUCAAAUUUAAUAAACAUAAAUUAUUAAGUAGUUGACGAAGAUUAAAAAUGUUAACUUUUGAUAAACUUAAAGAAUCAAAAUUCAAAACUGUUGAUUACAUAUUUAAGGAGCUAUUUUGAACCUGUUCAGUGUUCUCCCACCUUAGAGGCUAUUUUUGUCAUUUUCUCAAUUGAUAUUUUAGUAAUGUUAAAAUUCCACUGCAGAAUUGUUUUUCCUCCAAUGGAUCAGAUUAAGUAUUUAAUUAAAAAUAUAUGUUUAAUAAUUUAAACUAUUAGGUCUAGUGACCUGUCGUAUUCUUGAGACAUUAGUAGUACUUUAUUUAAAUAUUUAAGUGGACCAUUAUGCCCAUUGGGAUUUGAUAAUUUAUAAUUUAAGCUAAUCAACAUCAUUUAAUACUCAAUUUAUUUGUCCUCUGAUGUCUAUCUUUUCAUUAAAUACUCCUCUUUUUGUUCCUCAAUUAUUCACUUUUUGUUUUCCUUUUUAUUUUUGUCCCUAAGGAGACCCUCGAGCGUGUAUCAAAAAUAAUUUUUUUAUAUAUUAUUUUUUUCAUAACUUGUUUAUAAAGAUUUUACUAGAUAUAUUGUUGUUGUGAUAAGAAUUGAGAUAUUAAAAAUUAACAAGAUGUCUAGAAACAAUUCUUUUUCUUUUUUUGCCAUAGAAAAGAGCAUCUUUUAUUAAUAAUUUAUUUUAUCAAGACAAAGUUCAAAAUAAAUUUUCUUCCUAAAUGAAAUUUCUUUGUCUAUGACUUUCUCCCAAAAAAGCGUCAUGCUUUUAGCUUGGUUUGGCUGUACUACUUUGACUAGAUUUAUUAGUUGUCCUAUUAAAUAAAGAAAACGUCAUCAAGUCCUAUUUUGCAACCGUUACUAUAAUUAGCGCUUCGCUACGAAUAAAUCAAUAACUUUUUUUUAAUCAUGUAUUAUAUAGUAUUUUAUUCAAUUUCAAAUAAUUAUUAUUUAAAUUAUCUAUUGGAAAUAGUAUUUCUACCUCUAAGAUAAUGGUAAGGUUUACGUAUAUUUUACUCUCUUCAGAUCGUACUUUAUGGGAUUACAUGAGUAUGUCGUUGUAAUAUUGUCCCAAAUUAAUUAUGUCUACUUAAUAAUUUCCCCCUUUUGUUUUGUGUAGGUGAACCAUGGGAAUUUGGUGAAGCUAGAAGGUUUUUGCAUAGACCCUAAAGAAGCAAAUUGCUUCUUAGUCUAUGAGUAUGUUGAAAAUGGUUCACUACAUUCAUGGAUUCAUGGUGAAAAACCUGAAAAAUUGAGUUGGAAAACAAGACUAAGAAUUGCAACUGAUGUUGCAAAUGGUCUUUUAUACAUUCAUGAACAUACAAGGCCAAGAGUUGUCCACAAAGACAUCAAAACUAGCAACAUUCUCCUAGACACCAACAUGAGAGCCAAAGUUGCCAAUUUUGGUCUAGCUAAAUCAGGUUGCAAUGCCAUAACAAUGCACAUUGUAGGUACUCAGGGGUACAUCUCCCCUGAGUACCUAACCGAUGGCAUUGUAUCCACUAAGAUGGAUGUUUUCUCAUUUGGAGUUGUGUUGCUCGAGCUAGUGUCAGGGAAGGAGGCUAUUGAUGAUGAAGGGAAAGUCUUGUGGGCAAAAAUUAGCGAUUUUUCGGAAGGGAGUGAAGAGAGGAAGGUGAGGAAAUUGCAAGAAUGGAUGGAUGAUAGUCUUUUGAGGGAAGAGUUAACAAUGGAGAGUGUUGUGAAUGUGAUG
rnacentral:lncRNA from 1 species